UCGAUUAUCAAUGAAAUCGAAGCAAAAAUAGUUACAUCGUCCUUGUAGAACUAAUUCUAUAAAGUUAUUUCCAACUAUCUAAUAAAAACAAGAACUUUUAGUUCGUAUAUCUCCCAAUAACUUGUUGAAAAAAAGAAAAAAAAAAACAAAUUCCCCAAAUUAAUGGAUUUUGUGUUUUCACAAAAUAUAUAAAUUAAAAACGACCGUGAACUAAAACAAGGAAAAAAAAA
rnacentral:lncRNA from 1 species